UGCCCACAGCUAUACAACAACCUGACGUUGCACGGAGGCGGCUACGCCUCGCACGGUACAUUUUACGUCCUGCAGGGUCGGCCCGACACGCACGCUGUGGUGUAUUGGGGCACGUUUCAGCCAAAGGAGCAACACAUCGCGGUGUUCUGCACGGAGGAGGAGGUGGAUCAGCUAGUCGAGGCCUUAAGAGCAGCAGCCUUUGUCAACUGGGGCCGUAUUCUCAUCAUCCAUGCUGUUCCUCGUUACUUGCUGGAUCUUAUGCAGAAGCUCACGGAGGAAAAGGGCGCCAUCAUAGACGUGUGUUCACGUGUCGCCUUUGCCUACCAACCUCAUCUAGACACACAGCCCAUAAGGGUUGGUCCAGGGUUCCGUGUGUGCCUGCUGGGGAGGGCAGGGGUCCACUAUCUGGUCCAGAGAGCUAAAUAUGGUGGAAUGGCUCACCUGGAAGUGUUAAGCCGCCUGGCACAGCAUGUACCCUUCGUGGGAGUGUACCGGGACUCAGGCGUGACUCAAGACACCACCGUGGACCCGAACAGUCUGCCUGUGGCGGGGGACGAGGAGCUGCCUGUUGCCUGGGUGGCUACCAAUUUUGUAGGAGCUGUUGGGAAGCUGAUGACGGACGAGGGCUACAGACGACACGGCCUUGGCAGUCUCAUUAUCACUGUAACAGCAAGGCGACAAGCUACCCUCCUGAAGCUCAUUCCUCAUGCCUUUGUUGACGCCAGUAACGCUGCUUCUAUCGCAAUGUUUACGGGGCUUCCUGGCUGGAAGUUAACACAUGAUGUAUUCACGGUGCUUGCUGGUGUCACUUUGCAAACUUACACCCAAAGACAGUAAGCAGCUGGUCCUGAUAUCUGAGACCACCAGCUGGCAAGUGAAUGCAAAAUGUAGUUUAUCUAUGUUGGUCUACCAAUAAUAAGUUGAUUUUUAUAGAGGAAAACCUUGCAUCGGUCAUUUAUUUUCUCUCGUUUACCAAUAAAUAAAACAACGAGAAUGAUCAACUACAUUUUUGUUAACAACAGUAUCACUUGUGUACUGAAGUGUAAUUGUUACAUUAAGCACCAAUAGAAAAUAAAGUUAAUCUUAGGGAGCACCACUCCAAACCAAUAUUCGUAGUAGUUUAGCACGUGAAAGAAUUAAUAUUUUAAUGCAUUUUCGUAUACGUUUUACCUUGGGGAGGGGCCAGGGGAGCAAGCCUCGUUAAUUAUAAAGUUGGGUGGCUUCGAUUUUCUAAGUCCAUUGUUAUUGUUGCACGAGGGCCUCUAUAAACAGACUGAGCUACAUAGCUGCCUUGCAGUACACCAUACAAACUAGUUCCUAAGUCAGUAAUAUCCAGAAUGCGCAUGGAUCAUUACGAUUUCGGACAUAAAACGGUCUUUACGAGUUCUACGUUAUUUUCUUCUCUAUAUUAAGGCAAAUAAUGCCGCAAGUAUUUGUAUUUUAUAAUUUUAAAGGAUUACAUUUAUGAAGUAUUACUACGCGGGGUGUAUCACGCUGCCACGUAGGCAGCUUUCUGAAUCACAGUCUUCCUCGGGACGCCAUGAUGGACGGUGGGAUCGACACUCAGCUUUUCUUUAGUCUCCUGAAAUUAUCAUUCUACAGUACUUCACUCCUCUCUAAGUGUUAACGGACUAUUUAGCCACUUUAUUGGUAUCACCCAUGAGGCACUUUGCGUCACAUUGCGCCGUCAAAUAACCCAAAACCGAGUCCUUGUGACCCUUCAAUACCACCAUAUUCGAACAGUGACACGGGCGCGUCACAUGGGAUGCGCUUUUUGCCUCGUGGGCGCAUCAAGCUGUGACUGACAAUUUGGGCAGAUAGAGCUGCCCUUCUCAGCACAGGAGGGUUCGAGGGGGGCAAAGCUCCCCGUUAGAAUGGGGUUCGCCCCCCGUUAGCGGUUAGGUUAUAAAGUUCGGUUGCAGUAUUUUAAAUAUAUUCGACAUGCGGUGUGGGCCGUCGAAAAUUACGCAAGCUCACAACACGGGACGGAGUGGGGCGGCGGCGGCCACUACACUGGGCAUAUAAUGACACGCCCUACACUCGUCAACAGACCGGCUGCGGCGGCUUCUGGGUUAUGUUGGAAUAGAUUACAAGAGUAUGCGUUAGGGACUUUCCUUACAUUCAAGACUAGGGAAUUAUCCCUAUUUUAAGGAUUUUUUAAGGGAAAUUUUGGAAGCCCAUUUUUCAGUGAUUUUGCCUUCCUCCCAAAACCCCGACUCGCCACAGGUCCCCAGGCUUGUUUUGGGGGUAGGGGGGGCAUGAGUCGUGGAGGGGAUGGAGUGGUAAUUCCUAAGAUUUACCGAAAAUAAAUAAACACUUUUACUGAAUGUAAGAGUAAGUUAAAAUAAAUAUGCCAAUAAAAUUCAGUCCAUAAAGUUGUAUAAAAUAACCCCUACUAUCCAUAUCAGACCCUAUGACAUACCGUUUUUCGAAAAUAUCUUUCAAACGAAGACGCGGACCAGCAUGGUGC